rnacentral:misc_RNA from 1 species
GGGGAAUUUUCCGCAAUGGGCGAAAGCCUGACGGAGCAAUACCGCGUGAGGGAGGAAGGCUCUUGGGUCGUAAACCUCUUUUCUCAAGGAAUAAGAAAGUGAAGGUACUUGAGGAAUAAGCAUCGGCUAACUCCGUGCCAGCAGCCGCGGUAAUACGGAGGAUGCAAGCGUUAUCCGGAAUGAUUGGGCGUAAAGGGUCCGCAGGUGGCAUUGUGUGUCUGCUGUUAAAGAGUUUGGCUUAACCAGAUAAAAGCAGUGGAAACUACAAAGCUAGAGUGCGUUCGGGGCAGAAGGAAUUCCUGGUGUAGCGGUGAAAUGCGUAGAGAUCAGGAAGAACACCGGUGGCGAAAGCGUUCUGCUAGGCCUGCACUGACACUGAGGGACGAAAGCUAGGGGAGCGAAUGGGAUUAGAUACCCCAGUAGUCCUAGCCGUAAACGAUGGAUACUAGGCGUGGCUUGUAUCGACCCGAGCCGUGCCGGAGCUAACGCGUUAAGUAUCCCGCCUGGGGAGUACGCACGCAAGUGUGAAACUCAAAGGAAUUGACGGGGGCCCGCACAAGCGGUGGAGUAUGUGGUUUAAUUCGAUGCAACGCGAAGAACCUUACCAAGACUUGACAUGUCGUGAAUUUCUCUGAAAGGAGAAAGUGCCUUAGGGAGCACGAACACAGGUGGUGCAUGGCUGUCGUCAGCUCGUGUCGUGAGAUGUUGGGUUAAGUCCCGCAACGAGCGCAACCCUCGUUUUUAGUUGCCAGCAUUAAGUUGGGCACUCUAGAGAGACUGCCGGUGACAAACCGGAGGAAGGUGGGGAUGACGUCAAGUCAGCAUGCCCCUUACGUCUUGGGCUACACACGUACUACAAUGCUACGGACAAAGGGCAGCUACACAGCGAUGUGAUGCAAAUCCAAGAAACCGUAGCUCAGUUCAGAUCGCAGGCUGCAACUCGCCUGCGUGAAGGAGGAAUCGCUAGUAAUUGCAGGUCAGCAUACUGCAGUGAAUUCGUUCCCGGGCCUUGUACACACCGCCCGUCACACCAUGGAAGCUGGCAACGCCCGAAGUCAUUACUCCAACCAUUCGUGGGGGAGGAUGCCUAAGGCAGUGCUGGUGACUGGGGUGAAGUCGUAACAAGGUAGCCGUACCGGAAGGUGUGGCUGGAUCACCUCCUUUUAGGGAGACCUACCCAACUUGAGAGCCGAAAGCAAAGAGCAAAUAAGUAUCAAGAUGGUCUACUCGAGGUCGGUCGCAGAAAUGUUGAGAAAAGCUUUCAAACUAUGAUUGGGUUCGUAUUGGGGCUAUUAGCUCAGGUGGUUAGAGCGCACCCCUGAUAAGGGUGAGGUCCCUGGUUCGAGUCCAGGAUGGCCCACCUGAAGCAAUGCAAAAUUAAAAAYUCAAAGUUCAAAAUUAAGAAAUUGUUUUUGAAUUUUGCAUUUUGAAUUUUGAAUUGUGUUGGGGGGUUUAGCUCAGUUGGUAGAGCGCCUGCUUUGCAAGCAGGAUGUCAGCGGUUCGAGUCCGCUAACCUCCACCUGGAAAAAAAAGAGAAUUCAGCACCUAACGCCCAAAGAAAAGGGAGAAGUUAGAAUGCUGGGUGAAGACCUAGCCAGAACCUUGAAAACUGCAUAAAAACGCGAAAAGCAGGCAGAAACAGACAUUCUAUAAGAAUGAAAGUGGAAGCAAAAAAGACCAAAGAAGUUGUGGUCAAGCGAAUAAGGGCUAAUGGUGGAUACCUAGGCACACAGAG